CAUCCCAAUUUUUCAGAAUGACAUGCCUGCUGUCUUGGUGAGGAAAUCUCUCUACACUUUAGUUGAUUUGAUUCCUUGUCUUAUUUUUAUACAGCCUAGGUUAAUAUUCAGAAGUCUAUGAGACCUGGAUAGUCUGCCAGUUAUUCCAGUUGAGCACCAGAAAGGCAGUGCAGCCACAGAAGUGCCCAGCAGGAUCAAGCCUGUGCUGGAAAAGCAGUUGGAGUUGGAUCACAGGGCCAAAACCACUACAAUACAUGUGACAAGAGGCCUAGGUUAACUUCAGAGGUAUAUGAGACCUGGGCAGUCUACCUGUGUUGCCAUUUGAAUCCUAGAAGUCAGGGCAGCCACACAAGUACCCAGCAAGGUGAAGGCACUGCUGGAGAGACCAUCAACUCAGCUGGAUCACAGGGCUGGACCCACCACAAUCCAGGUGACAGAGGAUAGGGUUUCCCAAUUCAUGAAACAUUUUACACUAAAACAUGCUGAUAUCUUGAAGGAUAAUUUAUUUUGCUUCCUAUUUUCCAGAGAUAACAUUUUAAAUUAACCACAUUUCAUGUUAAAAUCAUGUUUGGUUGAGAAUUUCAGGUGCAAUUCAGUAUGAUUCUUAUUCUGCAGCUAAAACAUUUGUAAAUAAUGGUCACAACUUCUUGUUUUGAGAAAGCAUCUCAUGUAGUAAAACCACUAUGCAAAAUUCAUGUAAGAGACUAUUCAACUGUCUGAGGUUCCAGCCAAUGUCCUGACUCUCAAGUCUUUGACAACUACUCUAUCUAAUAAGUGGCCAUAGCAGUCAUUCUCAGUCUCUGCUUUCUAAAAUUAUACUGUUUUGUACAAUAUAGUCAUUGUAUUGUUGUUUGGGUCCAGCUGGUACAGACCCUACUGUCUUUGUCUGCCUGCUUGGUAAAACAGCAAAACACUUGAGCUUAAGAAUUACAAAGCUUUAGUUCAACAAGCUCAGUGCUUCUCAAUGAGCUCUUCUUGGAUAUGUUGCAUUAAAGUAAUUUGAGAAUUUGGGCCCAGGGAUUUAGCUCAGUGGUUCCGCCACCUACCUCACAAUAGCAAGGUCCAGAGUUCAAUCCCCUGUACCCCCCCCAAAAAAGAUUAAAUUUAAAA
rnacentral:lncRNA from 1 species